AGCGAACGCUGGCGGCAGGCCUAACACAUGCAAGUCGAACGAAGUCUUCGGACUUAGUGGCGGACGGGUGAGUAACACGUGGGAACGUGCCUUUAGGUUCGGAAUAACUCAGGGAAACUUGUGCUAAUACCGAAUGUGCCCUUCGGGGGAAAGAUUUAUCGCCUUUAGAGCGGCCCGCGUCUGAUUAGCUAGUUGGUGAGGUAAAGGCUCACCAAGGCUACGAUCAGUAGCUGGUCUGAGAGGAUGACCAGCCACAUUGGGACUGAGACACGGCCCGAACUCCUACGGGAGGCAGCAGUGGGGAAUCUUGCGCAAUGGGCGAAAGCCUGACGCAGCCUUGCCGCGUGGAUGAUGAAGGUCUUAGGAUUGUAAAAUCCUUUCACCGGUGAAGAUAAUGACUGUAGCCGGAGAAGAAGCCCCGGCUAACUUCGUGCCAGCAGCCGCCGUAAAAC
rnacentral:rRNA from 1 species